CACUACGACGGAAUUAGUUGAUGGACUGUGUACGUCCCAAUGGAGCGGAUGGCUCCUGAGGCUCUGCUAUAUUGCAUUCAAAGUUACAAUUAUUGACGUCUGAAGCCAAAGCAGACAGUCAAAAGGACUUUGAAAAGACCGUUUCAAAGACCCGACCUGUGUCUGUGUUGUGAAGAGCUCCAGUGAGAACUCGGCUGCUCGACACAGGUAGGAGAGACGACGACACCGCAGCGGGUGACGACGCGCAGCAGAAACAACACAUCAGAUAAGCAAAGCCCACGAAGCAACGGUGGUUAGACUGUAGAAAGUGCAACAUUUCAGGCCAAAGCCAAGAAGUGCUCUACCACAACCUUCAAGUUAAAGUGGUGUGAGAAGUGGUCCAACUUGGAAAUUGCAAGGACUCAAGUCUAUUAACGUUGCAUACUGUGCUUAGCCUACAUGUUUGGGGAUACAUCUAAGCUACAGACAUUGGAGUUGCAGAAGAAGUGGAAAGGCUACGAAGAAGUGAAAGAACCUGAACCCUAACAGAAAAGGGAAGAGAACAUCAAGAAGAAUGGCUGAAGAGUGUACAAUGUCGUCAUCUAUGAGAAGUGGAGGUAUCAGGCAAGGAAAUAUUGACUGAUGAGGCCUCCAAGGACGAAUUGAGAACAUGAAAAGCACCUGUUCUGAUGUAAAGGCUGAAGAUAAACAACAGCACAUUGAACUGUAAAUUUGAAUCUGAGAACCUAACCAGACAGCAAGCAAUGCAAGACAAGCGUAGAAAGUUCAAACGCCUAGAAGAAGUGAAGUUGAACGCUGCAAGAGCUUGAGUAAAGGUCUACAAUCAAGUCAAAGAAAAUUGACUGAAGCAAUUGACUUGCUGCAUGAUGUUGAACCAGCAGGAGAACUUCAAGUUCUUAACCUCACAAGUCCCCCAUUAAGUCCUCAAUCUCUGCUAGUCGCAACCCAAGCCCCUCGUGCCUCAAGUCCCCCAUUCAUUCCUCAAUCUCUACCAAUUACAAGUCAAGCUAGUCCCUGAAGCCUGUCAUUGUUACCUCAAGCUCCACCAACUUCAGUGCUCAUGCCUCAAGUGCAGAUCAGCUCUGAUUUGGUCAACAUGCUAGACUAUGUCUUCCAACACACUGGAGAUCCAAAUUCAAAGACUGGCGACUAUCUUUCAAAGCAUUAAUAAACAGGAAAAACAUUCCAAAGACAGAAAAACUGUAUUACCUAAGAAAGUACUUAGAUGGUGCCACAAAGAAAGCCGUUAAGGUAUCUUAAAAAGUUAAAAGAAAAGAACACACAUAAAACAGAAUAGGGUACAUGACUCAAGCACAAAAACAUUCAGAAAAGAGAUGGCUCUUCAGCUGUGACUUAAAACAUCCAAGGGAGUUUGCUGACCUGACUCCCAGGGAGAGAGUGUUCCACAGCCUAGGACCCAGAACAGCUAAUGUACAGUCCCCUCGUGUUUUCAGUCGUGAAUGAGGUACAACUAGCAGGGCUUGUUCAGUUCCUAGGAUUUUGGAGAAACGUUUUGUAUUUGUAGCCAAUAAAGCAAGGUGUUUGAGGAUGUUAGAAGAGACCUGAUUUGGGGCAAAAACCAGAACUUUAGUUUUACUGUGAUUUAGUUGAAGAAAAUUAUAAGACAUCCAGUUACUAAUCUCGGCCAGACACGUGGGCAUAGUAGUUACAUUUGAAAGAUCACUGGGCCUAAUGGAUAAGUAGAGUUGUGUGUCAUCAGUGUUGCACUGAUAAAACACACAGCCAGAUUGACUUAUCAAAUACCCUAAGGGGAGCAUAUAUAAUGAAAAUAAAAUGGGUCCUAGAAUUGAUCCCUGAGGCACCCCACAAGUCAAAGGAGCACAGGUAGAACCUUGAAAAUGUCCGGUUGGAUAAAUAAGAAAACUUGAGUGCUACAUUAGAUAUCCCAACCCAUUUUUCCAGCCGAUCAAUUAGAGUAGCAUGGUCAAUAGUGUCAAAGGCUGCAGACAAAUCUAAGAGAACUAAAAUUGCAACUUCACCGUGGUUCAACUGCAGUGUCAUUUGUGACCCUUAGCAGAGCUGUCUCAGUGCUGCAUUUGUGACGAAAGCCUGAUUGGUAUUAAUCAAAUAUGUCAUUUUGUUCCACCAGUUCCAGAAGUUGCUUGCAGACCAUUUUUUUUCUAAAAUCUUGUAAUGUGGUGGUAUGCUAGGAUCUAGGUGCAAUUUCUUUUUUUUUUUUUUAGAAGCGGUUCAACUUCAGCCAUUUUAAAGGAUUCUGGAACAUAGCCUGAUGCAAGUGACUGGUUCAUUAUAGCAAGUAGAGACGGUCCAGUUAUGCUGAUGGCGUCUUUAAGGAGUCUGGGAGGCACAAUGUCAAGGGGACACAUGGAGGACUGAGUGUUAACAGUAUUAAUCAAAUCCCUGAGGGAGAAAAUUGAUCUAUUAGGAUGGGACAGUUGUGAGACAGCUCAGUACGAGGGCAUGGGGGGCUGGGUGACACGAUAGAAGUUCUCAUUCUGUUGAUUCUAUUUAAGAGGCAGUCAAGAGAUUUAAAAAUAUACCUACGAUUGUGUUUGUUUGUGGUGAUGAGAUUAUUGAAAUAAGCAGUUUGUGCAUCCUUAAUCUUUUGAUUCAGCAAAAUCAUCAAGUCUUUCAUUUGAUUAUAAUAGACAAGCAGUUGUGUGGUUUUCCACCUGUGCUCUGCUUGUCUACAUUGUCUUUUCACAGAGCAAAUGUCAUCAUUUAGCCAUGGAGAAGAAUUGGUCUUAGAAACUGAUUUGGUCGUAAGGGGGGUAGCAGCUUCUAGAGCAGACGCACAUAUUUCAUUAAAGUAGUUCACCAUGUCAUCAAUAUGUGAAAAGGAUAAUACUCAUUGAUCUAACACAGGAAAAAGUGGUAGAAAAUGUGGCUAUAGACCGACUGUUAAAGUAGCAACAUUUUACAGUGUGCUUCUGGCCUAAAAUGGUGGUAUCAAACAAAAUACAUUUAUGAUCAGAGAUAAAAUCAUCCAAUUUUGGAGAACUAAGUGUCAUGCCUAAGGUGAACACUAGGUCAAGUGUAUGGCCAUGGUCAUGGGUGGGACCCUUUAAAUGUUAAAUAAAAAAAUAAAAAAAAUUGACUAGAAAUAGGCCUAAGCACACAAAGACUAAUUUACACUAAUAAAAUCACUUGCUGUGGCAUUUUUUGCAUCAUCAACAUGGAAAUUAAAAUCACCAACCAUAAUCACUUGGCAGCAGCAAUAAAAUCAGAAAACUCAGAGAAAAGUUUUUAAGUUUUGGUGGAUGGUAAAUAACAAAGCAACAUACAGGAUUUGUGCAGCAGAUAAGUAACAUGAGAGCCCCAAAGCUGGUAAUUUUUUUAACAGUAAGAAGAAAACAUUUAAGCGAUUGCAAUUUUUAAAAAAACACAGCUAGGCCACCACCAUGGCCACUUAGACUAGGGGAGUUAAAAUAGCUCAAAUUUGAGGGACAUAGCUCUAAAAGUUGACUACAUUCUCCUUCCUUCAGCCAUGUUUCAGUAAAAACACAAAAAAAAGAAAAAAGCAAUUUCUGGGACAAAAUGAGAUGUUUAAGAUGCAUGUUUUAUUAGAGAGGGACCUAACAUUUAACAGACCAAAUUUUAUACAGGGGACUUUAACAUCAGGAAUGUUGAGGAACAGAUAAAAAUUUUUGGCCUAACCAGAUUAAAAUUGAUUUUGCGUGGUGGUCUGUUAUUGAUUAUAACACAGAUAAUAAAGAGGCUCUCGGGAUUGUCACAAAAAGUAUUUGGACUGUAGGGGAGCCGGUGGUACAGACAGGUGAAGAGGUCACUGGGGAGGAAGAGGAGCAAUUAGUGACUGGUGUGUAGACCUGAGCAGUUGUGGAGUAGUGGUCAGUCUUUGGCAUGAAGCUGUAGUAACUGCAUGGAAAAUGUUUUCUGAAAGUACUUUUGUGCCAUGGAGGCUGGGGUGAAUACCAUCUCUGCUAAAAAGGGAGGAUCGUUCCCAAAAAAGGUUACAAUUGUCUUUAAAAAACACAUUGUGAGAUGGACAGCCAUGUGUGGAGAGAGAGCAGUCGGCUAAAACAUCCGAUGCCCCUGCCUAAUGGGAAUAGGGCCUGAGAUGACAGUUUUUGAGUUCGUUAAAAACUUGUUUUAAAACUUCAGACUGCUGCAUGUGGGUGUUUACUGAGAAGACACGGGAUCUGCUGCAUGACGUCUACAAUUUUCGCACCUGGUAGGCAGUGGGUCACUGCAGAUUUUCAUUUAACAUGUCUUAAGACGAAAUCACCGAUGAUCAGGGACGUAAUGUGCAGUGCAGGCUUGCAGUGAUGAGAUGUGGACACAGCCUGGGGAGCAAUGUGUUCUUCUGACAGAGUGGAUGGAGAAGGGUGGACAGAGUGGUGGGCAGAAGCCUGCUGCGUCGCUGGUGUAAAAAGCGGUAUGGAGCGGCGAGCCCUAUAGCCUCAGACAUGGCUGGUGGAGGGAUCGGAGGUGACAGUGAGCUGAGGGGUCAGCUGAUGGGAAAGCAGGGGAGGUGGAGAAAAAGGCCGGAACGAGGAGGGAAGUCCUGCAGGUCGUAUAUAUUUUCCAGCUGGACGUUAUAGUGAGGAGGUGCAGGAGGAGAGCGCCUCCCUCUCCCGCUGCAACUGGAGCUGACCAGGUCUUUAGGCUUAGCCCGAGCCAUAACCAGGAGUCAUCGGGGACAGUGACUGGAGGAGGUGGAUCAGCAGCAGGAGAGAGAGCAAUGGUACCCAGCUGAUACAGUGGUGAAUGAGAGGGAAAAUGAACUGAACGAUUAUCCUCACAAUAUACUCAAUACAAGCGCUCAAGAGUGUGGAAAGUAAGCAUCCACAAAGCCAAACCAUUCAAGCAAAGACGCUG